ACUCCUACGGGAGGCAGCAGUGGGGGAUAUUGCACAAUGGAGGGAACUCUGAUGCAGCAACGCCGCNUGAGGGAAGACGGUNUUCGGAUUGUAAACCUCUGUCCUCGGNGAUGAUAAUGACGUANCCAGGANAAGCUACGCUANCC
rnacentral:rRNA from 1 species